UACGGAGGGUGCGAGCGUUGUCCGGAAUCACUGGGCGUAAAGGGCGCGUAGGUGGCCGAGCAAGGUCGCGGUGAAAGCCCGGGGCUCAACCCCGGGUCGGCCGUGGCAACUACUCGGCUUGAGCACUGUAGGGGCGGGUGGAAUUCCGGGUGUAGCGGUGGAAUGCGUAGAGAUCCGGAAGAACACCGGUGGCGAAGGCGGCCCGCUGGGCAGGAAGGCUCGCAAGAGCCGGCUGACACUGAGGCGCGACAGCGUGGGGAGCAAACAGG
rnacentral:rRNA from 1 species